UCCGUAGGUGAACCUGCGGAGGGAUCAUUACGCAAAUAUGAAGGCGGGCUGGAACCUCUCGGGGUUACAGCCUUGCUGAAUUAUUCACCCUUGUCUUUUGCGUACUUCUUGUUUCCUUGGUGGGUUCGCCCACCACUAGGACAAACAUAAACCUUUUGUAAUUGCAAUCAGCGUCAGUAACAAAUUAAUAAUUACAACUUUCAACAACGGAUCUCUUGGUUCUGGCAUCGAUGAAGAACGCAGCGAAAUGCGAUAAGUAGUGUGAAUUGCAGAAUUCAGUGAAUCAUCGAAUCUUUGAACGCACAUUGCGCCCUUUGGUAUUCCAAAGGGCAUGCCUGUUCGAGCGUCAUUUGUACCCUCAAGCUUUGCUUGGUGUUGGGCGUCUUGUCUCUAGCUUUGCUGGAGACUCGCCUUAAAGUAAUUGGCAGCCGGCCUACUGGUUUCGGAGCGCAGCACAAGUCGCACUCUCUAUCAGCAAAGGUCUAGCAUCCAUUAAGCCUUUUUUUCAACUUUUGACCUCGGAUCAGGUAGGGAUACCCGCUGAACUUAAGCAUAUCAAUAAGCGGAGGAA
rnacentral:rRNA from 1 species